rnacentral:rRNA from 1 species
CUUGGUCAUUUAGAGGAAGUAAAAGUCGUAACAAGGUCUCCGUUGGUGAACCAGCGGAGGGAUCAUUACCGAGUUUACAACUCCCAAACCCCUGUGAACAUACCUAUACGUUGCCUCGGCGGAUCAGCCCGCGCCCCGUAAAACGGGACGGCCCGCCCGAGGACCCCUAAACUCUGUUUUUAGUGGAACUUCUGAGUAAAACAAACAAAUAAAUCAAAACUUUCAACAACGGAUCUCUUGGCUCUGGCAUCGAUGAAGAACGCAGAAAAUGCGAUAAGUAAUGUGAAUUGCAGAAUUCAGUGAAUCAUCGAAUCUUUGAACGCACAUUGCGCCCGCCAGUAUUCUGGCGGGCAUGCCUGUUCGAGCGUCAUUUCAACCCUCAAGCUCAGCUUGGUGUUGGGACUCGCGGUAACCCGCGUUCCCCAAAUCGAUUGGCGGUCACGUCGAGCUUCCAUAGCGUAGUAAUCAUACACCUCGUUACUGGUAAUCGUCGCGGCCACGCCGUAAAACCCCAACUUCUGAAUGUUGACCUCGGAUCAGGUAGGAAUACCCGCUGAACUUAAGCAUAUCAAUAAGCGGAG